GUUGAGGUCUAUCCCGAUGGGGCUUUUCCCAUAGACCCACAUCGUUGGAAACGCCUCAUAGAGUAACUGUGUGGUUUUGCUUUACUCACAGAACUAUGCCUUGGUAUCUGUGGGAAGGAACUACAAAACAGCA
rnacentral:snoRNA from 1 species